rnacentral:tRNA from 1 species
GUUUAAAUAGUUUAAUAAAAAUAUUGAUUUGUGGAGUCAAUGAUAUAAGUAAUUAUUUUAGACA